GUGACCUCAAAUCAGGUAGGACUACCCGCUGAACUUAAGCAUAUCAAUAAGCGGAGGAAAAGAAACUAACAAGGAUUCCCCUAGUAACUGCGAGUGAAGCGGGAAAAGCUCAAAUUUAAAAUCUGGCAGUCUUUGGCUGUCCGAGUUGUAAUCUAGAGAAGUGCUAUCCGCGCUGGACCGUGUACAAGUCUCCUGGAAUGGAGCGUCAUAGAGGGUGAGAAUCCCGUCUUUGACACGGACUACCAGGGCUUUGUGAUGUGCUCUCAAAGAGUCGAGUUGUUUGGGAAUGCAGCUCAAAAUGGGUGGUAAAUUCCAUCUAAAGCUAAAUAUUGGCGAGAGACCGAUAGCGAACAAGUACCGUGAGGGAAAGAUGAAAAGAACUUUGGAAAGAGAGUUAAACAGUACGUGAAAUUGCUGAAAGGGAAACGCUUGAAGUCAGUCGCGUUGUCCAGGGAUCAACCUUGCUUUUGCUUGGUGCACUUCCUGGUUGACGGGUCAGCAUCAAUUUUGACUGUUGGAAAAAGAUCAAGGGAAUGUGGCAUCUCUGGAUGUGUUAUAGCCCUUGGUUGCAUACAAUGGUUGGGAUUGAGGAACUCAGCACGCCGCAAGGCCGGGU
rnacentral:rRNA from 1 species